GUGCUCACUUAGGCAGCAUAUAUAGUAAAAUUGAAAUGAUACAGAGAAUAUUAGCAUGGCCCCUGCACAAGAAUGACACACAAAAUCUUGAAGCAUUCUAUAUUUUU